UGGGAAGGGGGAGCAAAUCAAAGCUAUCACUCGUCCACACCGACAGAUACCACCUGCCAUCUCCCAUUUUCUCCUCCCCCAACCUCCCCAGCAUCCCUGAUCACUUCAAGGGCUGCUGAGCCCUGGGAAGAUUUUCCACGGAAGAACUUGUUUAAUAAAUGGGAAACUGACCUUUGCUA
ensembl:lncRNA novel transcript